GUGCUCGCUUCAGUAGCACAUAUACUGAAACUGGAGCGAUACAGAGGUGAGCAGGGCCUGCGCAAGGAUGACGCGCAGAUUCGUGCAGCGUCCCAUGUUUUU
rnacentral:snRNA from 1 species